ACGAACGCUGGCGGCAGGCCUAACACAUGCAAGUCGAGCGCGCCUUCGGGUGAGCGGCGGACGGGUUAGUAACGCGUGGGAACGUACCCUUCUCUACGGAAUAGCCUUUGGAAACGAAGAGUAAUACCGUAUACGCCCUUUGGGGGAAAGAUUUAUCGGAGAAGGAUCGGCCCGCGUUAGAUUAGAUAGUUGGUGGGGUAACGGCCUACCAAGUCUACGAUCUAUAGCUGGUUUUAGAGGAUGAUCAGCAACACUGGGACUGAGACACGGCCCAGACUCCUACGGGAGGCAGCAGUGGGGAAUCUUAGACAAUGGGCGCAAGCCUGAUCUAGCCAUGCCGCGUGAGUGAUGAAGGCCUUAGGGUCGUAAAGCUCUUUCGCCUGUGAUGAUAAUGACAGUAGCAGGUAAAGAAACCCCGGCUAACUCCGUGCCAGCAGCCGCGGUAAUACGGAGGGGGUUAGCGUUGUUCGGAAUUACUGGGCGUAAAGCGCACGUAGGCGGAUUGGAAAGUUGGGGGUGAAAUCCCGGGGCUCAACCCCGGAACUGCCUCCAAAACUAUCAGUCUAGAGUUCGAGAGAGGUGAGUGGAAUUCCAAGUGUAGAGGUGAAAUUCGUAGAUAUUUGGAGGAACACCAGUGGCGAAGGCGGCUCACUGGCUCGAUACUGACGCCUGA
rnacentral:rRNA from 1 species